GGGAGAACCAACCCAUCAGGAAUUCGUUUUUUUCUACCCAUUAUAUGCUCACACACUUUUCAAAAUUCCAAAUUUGCCACUCUCUUUCAUUACCCAACAAAACCUAAUACGUUUUGUCAAAAAAAACCCCUUCUUCUCUUUUUCUUAGCCGCCAUCUUCUCCCAGCUACCACCUCUUCGUGCUCAAGAAUUCUCAGCAUGGAGUGUAGGUCUAAUUUGAAAUGAGGAAGGCCCCAACAAAAACAUUUUUGGACAGCCAGUGAGGAUGCAGCACUGAUGGAGUCAUUGAAGGAAUUAUAUCAUGACACGACGUGGCGAGCUGACACUGGUUUUAAGAAUGGUUACUUGGGCAAGUUAGAAUGUAUGUUGGAAGCCAAAAUUCCCGGUUGUGGAUUAAAGGCGUCUCCUCAUAUUGAAUCACGAGUCAAGACAUUGAAGUUAAAAUAUUUUGCCUUAACUGAGAUGUUAUCUCCAAGUGGCUUUGGAUGGAAUGAAGAGAAAAUGAUGUUGGUAUGUGAGAAAAGUGUAUAUGACGAGUGGGUGAAGUCUAAAAAAGAGGCAAGUGGUUUGUACGAUAAGCCAUUUCCACACUACUAUCUCUUGGGAGAGAUAUAUGGAAAAGAUC